UACGUAGGUGGCGAGCGUUGUCCGGAAUUACUAGGCGUAAAGGGCAGGCAGGCGGAUCCAUAAGUUUAUCGUUUAAGGCGUCGGCUUAACCGGCGUAGGGCGGUAGAUACUGUGGAUCUGGAAAGCGGUUGGGGAAGACAGAAUUCCUGGUGUAGCGGUGGAAUGCGCAGAGAUCAGGAGGAAUACCGAAGGCGAAGGCAGUCUUCCAAGCCGUUAUUGACGCUCAACUGCGAAGGUGUGGGUAUCAAACAGGAUUAGAUACCCUGGUAGUCCCU
rnacentral:rRNA from 1 species